GUCUCUAAGCAAUGGAUGUCUUGGCUCCUCACACGAUGAAGAACGUGGCAUAAUGUGUUAAGUAACCGGAGUUGCAAACAUCAUGACAGGUUAAUCUUUGAAUGCAAAUUGCGCUAAACUCGAUCUCGGUCGAGAAGCAUGGGUGUGACA
rnacentral:rRNA from 1 species